rnacentral:lncRNA from 1 species
GAAUAACAAUAUUAAGCAAAACCUGAAACAGUAGUUCAGUUCUCGGAAAAAGAAAUUACUAUUGGCUGAGUAGCUUCAACUUCAGGAGUACCUACCAAGGUUUACAUUUUACUACAUCCUUCUUAAAUGUUAGUCUUUGCAUAAAACCUUCAAUAAAAAACUAUCAUGCAGAAAUCACAUUCUUUAUGAGAAACAGACCUCAUAAUAGAAAAUCUGUAUCAUAAUAGAAAUUGUAGAUUUCCUUGAUGGGAAACAUACUAAUGGUCAGAUCCGCAUCAUCAUCACAGUUUCAGCCUCUACCGCUACCCAUCAUUACUCAUCUUGUGCAACCUCUCUUCUUUCUACUUUCACUCCCUUCUCUGGAGUUUGUCUUCAGUAGUAGUAGCAUAAAAAGCAAGUCCAGCUCAAUGUUGUUAGCAACCUAAAAAUGUUUCGGCUCUGAUGGCAUUUCUAGAUGGCUUGGCAAGUUCUCAUGCUCGUUUUAAUUCAAGAUACAUUAAAAGUGCAUCAGAAUUCGUGGCAGAACAGCUGAUAGAUGUAGACGUCGUACCUCCAAAAGAAGCGGCGAAUCCCCGACAAAAAUCAUAAACCGAACCAUUUAUAGACAAUAGAGCUGGUAGGACAUCUUUAAAAAACAAAAAAUGUACAAACUUGACCAUUGGCUC